UUGGCUUCAUAAUUUUUAAUAAAGUUUAAAAAUAUCUCAAAAUGAAUUUUGAAAAUCAAUAAUAAUUUUAUAAUUUUGAAGGAAGGAAGGGAGUACCUGGUUUUGAGCAGCUUCGGCUCUGAUCCCGAGAACUCCAGCAAUUACAUCUAAUGUAAUGAUCAAAAUGCACACAAAAACACCAACCAUUUUGGCCAUUUUGCUAUAUUUUCGAGAAGAAGAAAUUUGGUUAUGGAGUCUCUCUCUCUCUCUCUCUCUCUCUCUCCCACUUUCUGUGUUGGGUGCUCAAGUUUAGAUAAUACUAGGAAGAAAGUGAAUUAGUAAUAUAGAUAGAUAUAUAUAUAUAUAUAUAUAUAUUUACUUGUACUAUUCUGCCAACGAGAUUAGCGGUGGAUGAUGCAUGGAAAAGUGUGUUUAAUUUGUGAAGAUCGAGCAGUCCUUGUUUAACUUUACUUACUACUACUACACUAGUACUUUUUAUACUUAGCAAGUGUGUCUCCUAUUUUUUUUGGACUUUGGAUUCCUUUGAAGGGGUAAGAUGAUAGCUAGGCCUAGGCAUCCUCAUCUAAAGCUGAAUUCAUCAAUUUCGGUGGGUAAUUCAUUCAUCAUAAAGGCUUUUUUCACUAUCAAAGAUUGUGCAUGCUCCAUUUACGGCAGG
rnacentral:lncRNA from 1 species